rnacentral:misc_RNA from 1 species
UUGAUUGGUAGAGCAAUGGAUGACCAUGAUAUGGAGAAGGUUCUCUGUUUGCUGAAAAAUGACCCGGUUGUAGAUGCUCUAUAUGAUUGCAAAAGUGAGGUGAUUGGACCUGGAUUCUUUAGAUUUAAAGCAGAAAUAGAUUUUAAUGGAGUGGUGGUGGUGCGGAAUUAUCUAAAUAGGACUGGACGUGCAGAGUGGGCCAGUGAAGCUGCAAAGGAGAAGGAUGAUACUGCAUUGCUCAAGAUCAUGUCAAACUAUGGCGAGGAAGUAGUUACCGCUUUAGGAAGUGAAGUUGAUAGGCUUGAAAAGGAGAUCCAGGAGCUUGUUCCUGGUAUUCGGCAUGUUGAUAUAGAAGCUCACAAUCCAACAGGACCAACCCCUUGAUUAUAAUGUUCAUACGGCAUUUCUAUGUUACAUAAUGCAUGGAUGAAUAUCAUGCAUGCAACAAGAAAUGGCAGAUAAAUGGCUUUUUGCAUAUUUGCGCCAAGUAACAUACUAUGCAAAUAUUUAUAGGGAGAUUCCCAAUCUGUUAAUA